rnacentral:pre_miRNA from 1 species
GAUUUCAACUGAAAAAGUCAUCAAUAACAAAAUUGUAUAACUCAUCAAGAUCUAUAACUUCUAUUUUGAUCAUUUCUUCAUCCGAUAAAGUGAUUUGUAAUAUUGUUCACAAAAUGUACAUAUCCCUUAUAGUUUUGUAAACUAUAAGAGAGAUAUGUAAAUUUUAAGAAUAUGUUACGAUCACUUUGUCGGAUGAAGAAAUGACCAAAAUAAAAGUUAUAGAUCUUGAUGAGUUAUACAACUUUAUUAGUGAUGACUUUUUCAGCUGAAAUC